rnacentral:rRNA from 2 species
GGAAAAGAAACCAACAGGGAUUGCCCCAGUAACGGCGAGUGAAGCGGCAAGAGCUCAAAUUUGAAAUCUGGCCCCUCCGGGGUCCGAGUUGUAAUUUGCAGAGGAUGCUUCGGGCGCGGUCCCCGUCUAAGUACCCUGGAACGGGUCGUCAUAGAGGGUGAGAAUCCCGUCUGGGACGGGUGGCCGUGUCCGUGUGAAGCUCCUUCGACGAGUCGAGUUGUUUGGGAAUGCAGCUCUAAAUGGGUGGUAAAUUUCAUCUAAAGCUAAAUAUUGGCCGGAGACCGAUAGCGCACAAGUAGAGUGAUCGAAAGAUGAAAAGCACUUUGAAAAGAGAGUUAAACAGCACGUGAAAUUGUUGAAAGGGAAGCGCUUGCGACCAGACUCGCCCGCGGGGGUUCAGCCGGUACUCGUACCGGUGUACUCCCCCGGGGGCGGGCCAGCGUCGGUUUGGGCGGUCGGUCAAAGGCCUCCGGAAUGUGUCGCCCCCCGGGGCGUCUUAUAGCCGGAGGUGCAAUGCGGCCAGCCUGGACCGAGGAACGCGCUUCGGCUCGGACGCUGGCGUAAUGGUCGA